UAUUUUACUUCAACUGCCGGUCCAUCUGCCGGGCUUAUGGGGGUCCGUGCAGGUGGUUUCUUUUAUUGUGCACGAGCGUACCCGUCGGGUUUAUGGGAGCCCGGCGGAGUUAGUUAGAUUGCUUGUCUUUGUUGCCUGUACGCUCGUGUACAUACCCCCUAUUUACUACUCUUUGCACUUGAUGUGACCCUUUAUUUGCAUUUCAGUUUACUUUUGCUUAUCUUGCUCAGUCGGCCGAUGAUGCCUACUGGGUACCUGUUGUUUUGGUACUCAUGCUACGCUCUGCAUCUAUUUUGUGAUGCAGGUCCGAGCACUAGUAGCCAGCGUUGAUCUAGCCUGGAGUAGACUUAUCCGGAGACGGGGGUGAGCACAUGGCGUUUUGUACUAUUUCAGUCUCCAUCUGUAUAUAUAGACUUGUCUUUUUCCUUUCGAGACAGUCCAGUCUCUGUUGUCCAGUUUUGGGACUUGUACUCAUUUUGUAGUAGCUCUGUACUGGUGACUUCCAGGUUCUGGGAGGGAUCUUUAUUUGUAUAUAUGUUUUGGGUUGCUUUUGCCUGGUUAUAUUGUUAU
rnacentral:lncRNA from 1 species